AUGUCCUGUGUGGAAGGAUCCCUUUGGGAACUUCUCAGGAGGGGGACCUGGGCCAAGAGCUUGAACGUGCCUCAUGGGCAACUCGGGGCCCCUGGUGGGCCUG
rnacentral:lncRNA from 1 species